rnacentral:rRNA from 1 species
UGCCUAAUACAUGCAAGUCGAACGGUCUUUUCUAUGGAAGCUUGCUUCCACUGAGAAGAUAGUGGCGAACGGGUGAGUAACACGUGGGUAACCUGCCCAUAAGAGGGGGAUAACAUCCGGAAACGGGUGCUAAUACCGCAUAGUUUUCUUGAUCGCAUGAUUGAGAAAGGAAAGACGGCCUUUGUGCUGUCGCUUAUGGAUGGACCCGCGGCGUAUUAGUUAGUUGGUGAGGUAACGGCUCACCAAGACGAUGAUACGUAGCCGACCUGAGAGGGUGAUCGGCCACAUUGGGACUGAGACACGGCCCAAACUCCUACGGGAGGCAGCAGUAGGGAAUCUUCCGCAAUGGACGAAAGUCUGACGGAGCAACGCCGCGUGAGUGAAAGAAGGUUUUCGGAUCGUAAAACUCUGUUGUCAGAGAAGAACAAGUUGGAGAGUAACUGCUCCAGCCUUGACGGUAUCUGACCAGAAAGCCACGGCUAACUACGUGCCAGCCGCCGC